UACAGAGGUCUCAAGCGUUGUUCGGAUUCAUUGGGCGUAAAGGGCGCGUAGGCUGCGGGGUAAGUCGGGUGUGAAAUCUCAGAGCUCAACUCUGAAACUGCACUCGAUACUGCUUUGCUUGAGGACUGGAGAGGAGAUUGGAAUUCACGGUGUAGCAGUGAAAUGCGUAGAUAUCGUGAGGAAGACCAGUGGCGAAGGCGGAUCUCUGGACAGUUCCUGACGCUGAGGCGCGAAGGCCAGGGGGAGCAAAACGGG
rnacentral:rRNA from 1 species